rnacentral:rRNA from 1 species
UGGGGAAUAUUGGACAAUGGGCGGAAGCCUGAUCCAGCCAUGCCGCGUGUGUGAAGAAGGUCUUCGGAUUGUAACGCACUUUAAGUUGGGAGGAAGGGCAGUAAGCGAAUACCUUGCUGUUUUGACGUUACCGACAGAAUAAGCACCGGCUAACUCUGUGCCAGCAGCCGCGGUAAUACAGAGGGUGCAAGCGUUAAUCGGAAUUACUGGGCGUAAAGCGCGCGUAGGUGGUUCGUUAAGUUGAAUGUGAAAGCCCCGGGCUCAACCUGGGAACUGCAUCCAAAACUGGCGAGCUAGAGUAGGGCAGAGGGUGGUGGAAUUUCCUGUGUAGCGGUGAAAUGCGUAGAUAUAGGAAGGAACACCAGUGGCGAAGGCGACCACCUGGGCUCAUACUGACACUGAGGUGCGAAAGCGUGGGGAGCAAACAGG